GGAUAAUAAAAACCUAAAACGGGCACAUUUUUAUUGGCCACAUGAACUGUUAAACCGGCACAUUUUAACCCCUUGAAGCAUAUUAUUAUGCCCCAGGGGUUUGGUAAACAUGACAGAAACAAUAUAAAUUGGUCCAAAAUAUGACCCAUAUUAAAUGGCCCAUUAUAGUGGCUACUAACUGUUUUUUUGGUAACAGUUAUACCAGUCCGGUGGCCGUAGGCCAUGGUGGUGGUCGGAGGCGAGAAACUGGAAGCUCCCAGUCCUGAACUAACCAUGUGUUGAUUGCAGUGUCUCUCAAUUGCAUUGAUAGAAGAUUCUCUCUAACAACGCUUCGAAUUUGAUGAAGACCUUUGAUUGUGUGGAUGAUUUCUCUGAGAAGAGCGAGAUAUGAUAGACAGAGGCUCUGAAUGCAAGCUUGGAUAUGAAGUGUGUUGCCUUCUAUUUCCAGUGAAAAGGGAGGGUCAAUUGACAAGUGAGUUCCAAUUCAUUGUGGAGCAGUAAGACCCACAACGUGUUUGUAAAAAUGACCAAAUGAGCUGAGAGAAUUCACAAGCAUAUAAUAGGUGGUUGUGGUUUUCAGGGAGGGGUUCACAGAGGGGUUAAAUGUUUCUUUAUCUGAGAAAUGCCUUGGAUUUUUAUUUUUUAUUUUAUUUAUUUUUUUUUUUUUAAGGGUGGGGAGACUGGUGUGAACAGCAAUAGUUGGUGAGCUCCAAACAAGGUGGUUCCAAUUCACGGAAGGGGCGAUGGCUAGAAAAUAUGGAAUUGUGUGUGUUGAGUGAGUAAGUUCCUGUUGGUGAUGGGAUCCAAAUAAUGGAGUCAUCAAUGAUGGAAUCAGGGAGUGGAUUGGUUGGUAGUGAUGGGAUAGGAUUGAGGAUAGAUGGUGGGAAGACCAAGAUGUACCAGUCAUGAAUUGUUCAACCUUUCAAAAUCUAUCAACUAGAGAUGAAUCGAUUACGGCAGAGCUAUACCUGUGACGCAGAGGACCAGUUGGCUCCAAUUGUCAUACCAAAAGGAAGAAUCGUGACACCAAACGACUAAAGAUGGAAGAGUAUGACAAGUUCUUUGGUGAGGGAGUCUACAAUUGUGCAGGCUGCGGACCCAGAUGGAACGAGGAUUGAAAUUACAUGUGCUGCUUGUGGUGGACAUCUAGGUCAUGUAUUAAAGUUAUACCAGUCCGGUGGCCGUAGACCAUGGUGGUGGUCGGAGGCGAGAAACUUGAAGCUCCCAGUCCUGAACUAACCUUGUGUUGAUUGCAGUGUCUCUCAAUUGCAUUGAUAGAAGAUUCUCUCUAACAACGCUUCGAAUUUGAUGAAGACCUUUGAUUGUGUGGAUGAUUUCUCUUAGAAGAGCGAGAUAUGAUAGACAGAGGCUCUGAAUGCAAGCUUGGAUAUGAAGUGUGUUGCCUUCGAUUUCCAGUGAAAAGGGAGGGUUAAUUGACAAGUGAGUUCCAAUUCAUUGUGGAGCAGUAAGAUCCACAACGUGUUUGUAAAAAUGACCAAAUGAGCUGAGAGAAUUCACAAGCAAAUAAUAGGCGGUUGUGGUUUUCAGGGAGGGGUUCACAGAGGGGUCAAAUGUUGCUUUAUCUGAGAAAUCCCUUGGAUUUUUUAUUUAUUUAUUUAUCAAGGGUGGGGAGUCUGGUGUGAACAGCAAUAGUUGGUGAGCUCCAACCAAGGUGGUUCCAAUUGACGGAAGGGGCGAUGGCUAGAAAAUAUGGAAUUGUGUGUGUUGAGCGAGUAAGUUCCUGUUGGUGAUGGGAUCCAAAUAAUGGAGUCAUCAAUGGUGGAAUCAGGGAGUGGAUUGGUUGGUAAUGAUGGGAUAAGAUUUAGGAUAGAUGGUGGGAAGACCAAGAUGUACCAGUCAUGAAUUGUUCAACCUUUGCAAAUCUAUCAACUAGAGAUGAAUCGAUUACGGCAGAGCUAUACCUGUGACGCAGAGGACCAGUUGGCUCCAAUUGUCAUACCAAAACAGAGCUAUGAACUUGGAAUUGAGGCCAUUUUGGCAGAAAUGAAACUGCAAGUAUGCACAUUUUACUGGAAGAAUCGUGACACCAAACGACUAAAGAUGGAAGAGUAUGACAAGUUCUUUGGUGAGGGAGUCUACAAUUGUGCAGGAUGCAGACCCAGAUGGAAUGAGGAUUGCAAUUACAUGUGCGGCUUGUGGUGGACAUCUAGGUCAUGUAUUAAAGGUGAAGGGUUCCCUACUCCAAUGGAUGAAUGUCAUUGUGUUAAUAGUUUUUCACUCAAG